rnacentral:rRNA from 1 species
UACGAAGGGUGCAAGCGUUAAUCGGAAUUACUGGGCGUAAAGGGUGCGUAGGUGGUUAAAUAAGCUAGAUGUGAAAUCCCUGGGCUUAACCUAGGAAGGUCAUCUAGUACUGUUUAACUGGAGUACGGUAGAGGGUAGUGGAAUUUCCGGUGUAGCGGUGAAAUGCGUAGAUAUCGGAAGGAACACCAGUGGCGAAGGCGGCUACCUGGACUGAUACUGACACUGAGGCACGAAAGCGUGGGGAGCAAACAGG